GAUGAACGCUGGCGGCGUGCUUAACACAUGCAAGUCGAACGGAAAGGCCCAAGCUUGCUUGGGUACUCGAGUGGCGAACGGGUGAGUAACACGUGGGUGAUCUGCCCUGCACUUCGGGAUAAGCCUGGGAAACUGGGUCUAAUACCGGAUAGGACCACUUCUUGGAUGUUGUGGUGGAAAGUUUUUUGGGUGUGGGAUGAGCUCGCGGCCUAUCAGCUUGUUGGUGGGGUAAUGGCCUACCAAGGCGUCGACGGGUAGCCGGCCUGAGAGGGUGUACGGCCACAUUGGGACUGAGAUACGGCCCAGACUCCUACGGGAGGCAGCAGUGGGGAAUAUUGCACAAUGGGCGCAAGCCUGAUGCAGCGACGCCGCGUGGGGGAGGACGGCCUUCGGGUUGUAAACUCCUUUCGCUAGGGACGAAGCGUUUUGUGACGGUACCUGGAGAAGAAGCACCGGCUAACUACGUG
rnacentral:rRNA from 1 species